CCGCCAGUCCUGGGUGCCGCCAGUCCUGGGUGCCGCCAGUCCUGGGUGCCGCCAGUCCUGGGUGCCGCCAGUCCUGGGUGGCCCCCCGGCCCCCCGAUGGCGGCCGCACCUGGGCCAGUCCCUGCAGCCCCUGAAACGCCGGGCGGAUCAUCCGCCGCUGGAUCCGCCUCAGAACUCGAGCCACAGAUCAGUAAAACCUGAGAGAGCAGUCACUAAAUGAGCAACACCGCCAAAAAUGCACGACUGCCGAGACCAGCUCUUUUCCUCUUCAAAGGGUUUCUCUGCAGUGAAAGAAAUUAUUUAACGAUUUGAAGUCAUGUUGAAGUGAAGUAAAUUUUGCCUCUGGGUUGUUUUGCUGUCUUUCUGUGUUUUUUUUGUUUUUUUUUUUUUUUUUUUUGUUUUUUUUUGUUUUUUUUUUUUUUUUUUUUUUUUUGUUUUUUUUUUUUUUUUUUUUAAA